AUGGAUCUUCUCCCAUUCCACUUUCUUGAGAGGAUGCAAAGUCAUAAAAUUCAAAUGUACAACUGUUAUCUGUGGCCUGUGUGUGCUGAAAUGUCUGUUGAGACUUCUGAAUAUCUGCGACAGAGGAAGUACUUCCACUAAUCAUGCUGAGAGACUUCGCUUGCAUGGCUCCUGGAGUAUCCAAACAUUCAGCAACGUGCCAGCGAGGCGUCUGGACCAAAAGCAAAGAGAAAGGCAUCUGGCAACUGGGGCAGUAUCCAUCGUGCACGGGCUUCCCAUUUUGUGAGCUCUGUCCUGUCAGACUACUUACGCUCUCCUGGGAGUGCACGCUACUGUCAGCUUUGCACUGAUCUGCAUCCUGAUCUGGCCUUGGUUUCUGCUCAGUUUUCUGAAGCCCAUCAGUUUUUUCUACAGAUUUUCUUUUCUUUCUGUUUCUCUGUUUUUUUGCCCUGCUCUUGCCGUCACUUACUUUCUGCACAGGUGUAGGGAUGCUCUCGGAACUAUUCUGAUGCUUCUGCUUCCUGAUGGAUUUGUACUCCCAAAUGUCCUCCUCCAGUAAAACAUCUUCAGACAUGGUAACACGCGAAAUAGUCUUUGUUUUAAGCAACAGUUCACAAAUGUAACUUUUCUUCCACUAAAAGGUUUUCUCUUCCCUGCUCCCUUCACUAUCUGAAGAGAAGUGCUUGAAUUCCAUUUUAAAGGAGUAACACCGGGCUGCACACCAAACAGCAGUCCGUGAUGGGACAGAAGCAUGGUGGAUCCUACCCUAA